rnacentral:rRNA from 1 species
AGAGUUUGAUCCUGGCUCAGAAUCAACGCUGGCGGCGUGCCUAACACAUGCAAGUCGAGCGAGGGCUUAUUUCCCGCAAGGGAGAUGAGUUCCUAGCGGCGAACGGGUGAGUAACACGUGGGCAACCUUUCCUAUCGCGGGGGAUAACAGCGGGAAACCGCUGCUAAUACCGCAUGUCGUCACCGGUCGCAUGGCUGGUGAAGAAAGCAGCAAUGCACGAUGGGGUGGGCCCGCGGCCUAUCAGCUAGUCGGUGGGGUAACGGCCUACCGAGGCGAUGACGGGUAGCUGGUCUGAGAGGACGACCAGCCACACGGGGACUGAGACACGGCCCCGACUCCUACGGGAGGCAGCAGUGAGGAAUCUUCCGCAAUGGGCGAAAGCCUGACGGAGCGACACCGCGUGUGGGAUGAAGUCCUUCGGGAUGUAAACCACUGUUGGAGGGGAAGACAUCGACGGUACCCUCCGAGAAAGCCCCGGCUAACUACGUGCCAGCAGCCGCGGUAAUACGUAGGGGGCAAGCGUUAUCCAGAUUUACUGGGCGUAAAGCGCGUGUAGGCGGCUGGUUAGGUGUGAUGUGAAAUCCUCGGGCUCAACCCGAGAACUGCAUUGCAAACCGGCCCGGCUANAGUGCAGGAGAGGGAAGCGGAAUUCCAGGUGUAGCGGUGAAAUGCGUAGAUAUCUGGAGGAACGCCAGUGGCGA